rnacentral:rRNA from 1 species
AGCGAACGCUGGCGGUAGGCCUAACACAUGCAAGUCGAACGGCAGCACAGUAAGAGCUUGCUCUUACGGGUGGCGAGUGGCGGACGGGUGAGGAAUACAUCGGAAUCUACUUUUUCGUGGGGGAUAACGUAGGGAAACUUACGCUAAUACCUCAUACGACCUACGGGUGAAAGCAGGGGAUCUUCGUACCUUGCGCGAUUGAAUGAGCCGAUGUCGGAUUAGUUAGUUGGUUGGGUAAAGGCCCACCAAGGCGACGAUCCGUAGCUGGUCUGAGAGGAUGAUCAGCCACACUGGAACUGGGACACGGUCCAGACUCCUACGGGAGGCAGCAGUGGGGAAUAUUGGACAAUGGGCGCAAGCCUGAUCCAGCCAUACCGCGUGGGUGAAGAAGGCCUUCGGGUUGUAAAGCCCUUUUGUUGGGAAAGAAAAGCAGCAGGUUAAUACCCCGCUGUUCUGACGGUACCCAAAGAAUAAGCACCGGCUAACUUCGUG